rnacentral:lncRNA from 9 species
GGAGGCUGCCGACUCGAGGUGAAAAUCUUGCCACCUGUUAAAAUGAAGGAGCAGAGUUGUGAAGUUAUGAAUAAUAGGAGUUCGCCUUCCACCCACUGGCCAGACGUGGGAGAGAAAGAGGACUUACUUAUCUUCUAACUGGAAGUUUGUACCUUUUGGCCACCUGCAUCCAAUUUCCGGUGCCCCCACCCUUACCUCCAGGAACCACAGAUCCCACCUCUUUUUCGGUAACCUCUUCUGGCCUCAGUUUCCGGCUCCUUAUUCACGCCUUUGCAGCCACCCUGCCCUCCUUGUUUCCUGAACAUUCCAAGCCUGCUGCCGCCACAGGGUAUUUGCACCAGCCCCGUCCUCUCCGCUUAGACGUUGCGCAGACACCUCCUCAGGGACACCUCGGAGAGGAACUUACUGGAGAGCAUCACCCUCCCUGCACGCCUCCUCCCUUUUCGCUGAUUUAUUUGCUUCUCACAGCGUUUAUACCUGCAAACACACUGUACCACUGACCUGCUGAUGGCGUUUGUUGUCUGCCUCCCUCUGAAGGAAUCUAGGUUCUGUAAGGCAGAGAUGCUUCCUCUCCUCUUCACGGCUGUAUCCCUGAGAACAGAAUCAGACAUACAGUUGGCCCCGAGGAAUUAUUUGCUGACUUACUGAGCAUGAUUCUGUCUGAAAGACUGGCUGCACGAGGGGAACCUGGUCUCUGACUUUGAAUGAAACGGAAUUAGCAUCCGGUUGCAUAGUAGAUGGGACUGAUCUAUUCUUCCAGCUCUUUUCUCUGUGUCACAAAGGGAAAGAAUAACUCCUUUUCCCCCUGCACGCCCACUCCACAGAGAAAUGCUUUGAGACUCAAUUAAGCGGUGCCAUGGAGAACACAUUUCGAAUUUCCAGAAGAAAGCGCUGUAUUCAUUUGAGGCUUUCAUUGUGUGAAAGAGCUGUGAGUGACACAGGGCUGCAAAGCACAAAGAGCAGGACAGGGUAAAGGGAUUCCGCCGCUCACAUGUUACCUUGGCCUUUCACGGGAUCAUCGAUUUGAGACUGAAAAACGCAAAGUGGUUUAAAAAAUUUUAUCCCAGGUGACAGAUGUUUAAGAAAUACCUUCCUCUUUGUAGUCCAUUCGCAGUGAUUUAUGGCACGACACUCUCAUUCAUGAACGAGUCUCCGCUUUUACCAACUUUUGUCUAUUUUAUGGCCAUUCUCUUGCUCAUUAGAACUCCCACACCAAGGUCCGAGGGCUGGCGGGUCAGGGAGGAGCAAAAACUACAAUUUGUCCUUGUCAGGAGUUUAUUUAUCUCUCCUGUUUGUCAGGACCCAGAGGUGAGGCCAUGUGAGAAUCACAGGAUUGGAGACACACGAAAUGCAGCCAGUUCAAUGCACAAAUUGCUAGAUUAUUGCACAUGAUCAGCUCAGAGACCAGGUAGGCCAAGUGGGAAAACAGACCGGGGUAUUGAAUCACUCCGCGGAGGAGUCUGGGGAGGAGGCGGCCCGGGUCCAGCCGCCCUGGGUCCCGCAGCCCGGCUCAGGACAAGCGACAAGUCUGAGUGGGGACUCACCCUUUGCUCCAAGGGAGCCCCGGGCAGCGUCCCCAGAACAGUUUCAGCAGCACAGAGUCCAGUCCUCCUCCAAAGAGCCACCCUGCUCCGCCAUCUGGUUUUAAGAGGUCUGUCUGCGAGUUCCCGUUGUGGCUCAGGGGUUAAGGACCCGACUAGUAUCCAUAAGGAUUUGGGUCAGAUCCCUGCUUUGCUCAAUGGGUUAAGGAUCUGGCAUUGCUGUAGCUGUGGUGUAGGCCGGCAGAUGCAGCUUCAAUUCAACCCCUGGCCUGGGAACUUUCAUAUGCCGCAGGUGCAGCCCUCAAAAAAAAAAAAAAAAAA